CCUACGGGAGGCUGCAGUAGGGAAUCUUCCACAAUGGGCGAAAGCCUGAUGGAGCAACGCCGCGUGGGUGAAGAAGGUCUUCGGAUCGUAAAACCCUGUUGUUAGAGAAGAAAGCUCGUGAGAGUAACUGUUCACGUUUCGACGGUAUCUAACCAGAAAGCCACGGCUAACUACGUGCCAGCAGCCGCGGUAAUACGUAGGUGGCAAGCGUUAUCCGGAUUUAUUUGGCGUAAAGGGAACGCAGGCGGUCUUUUAAGUCUGAUGUGAAAGCCUUCGGCUUAACCGGAGUAGUGCAUUGGAAACUGGGAGACUUGAGUGCAGAAGAGGAGAGUGGAACUCCAUGUGUAGCGGUGAAAUGCGUAGAUAUAUGGAAGAACACCAGUGGCGAAAGCGGCUCUCUGGUCUGUAACUGACGCUGAGGUUCGAAGGCGUGGGUAGCAAACAGGAUUAGAUACCCCUGUAGUC
rnacentral:rRNA from 1 species